rnacentral:rRNA from 1 species
UAAUACCGGAUAUUAUGAGAUUCUCGCAUGAGAAACUUAUGAAAGCUAUAUGCGCCAAGAGAGAGCCUUGCGUUCCAUUAGCUAGUUGGUGGGGUAACGGCCCACCAAGGCGACGAUGGAUAGCCGGCCUGAGAGGGUGAACGGCCACAAGGGGACUGAGACACGGCCCUUACUCCUACGGGAGGCAGCAGUGGGGAAUAUUGGACAAUGGGCCACAAGCCUGAUCCAGCAAUUCUGUGUGCACGAUGAAGGUCUUCGGAUUGUAAAGUGCUUUCAGUUGGGAAGAAGAAAGUGACGGUACCAACAGAAGAAGCGACGGCUAAAUACGUGCCAGCAGCCGCGGUAAUACGUAUGUCGCAAGCGUUAUCCGGAUUUAUUGGGCGUAAAGCGCGUCUAGGCGGAAAAAUAAGUCUGAUGUUAAAAUGCGGGGCUCAACUCCGUAUUGCGUUGGAAACUGUUUUUCUAGAGUACUGGAGAGGUGGGCGGAACUACAAGUGUAGAGGUGAAAUUCGUAGAUAUUUGUAGGAAUGCCGAUGGAGAAGUCAGCUCACUGGACAGAUACUGACGCUGAAGCGCGAAA